GCAGGCUCCGCUCAGGCCGUGUGUGGCGAAGGAGAGAGGGCGGGCGUCUGGCAGCGAUGCCUUGUUGUGGUGCCGUGCGCCUUGGUAACCCUGCCUGGGCUGGGAUUAGCCGUGCUGUGGGUGCCGGCUCGUCUCGGCUUCCUGGCUGCUUGUUAACCAUUUUUUCCCCUCUGGAUUUGUGUAUAUUCCUUGGCCGGCCUGCCUGGUCUUGUUUGUGCUGUCUUUUCCCAAUACAACGAUAACGCUCUUUAGUUUGGGCUUCAGACAAGUGAGUCACUUAAUAAAAUGGAUGGCAUAACCCAGGCAGUAAGGAGGAGAUCAUCUCUUUGUGGGGUUACUCAGGAAUCUGCUUCUAAUGUUGUGAAGCCCAUCUCUUGCAUCUAGAAUCUUCCCACUCUAGCAGAAAAAGACUUAAAUCUCUCCUGCUUUUACCUGGAAUUCUUGUCUCCUGAAAUCCAGCUUGAUGUUAGCUGACCUUCCUGGGCUGCCUUCUGGGUGAAUGUCUGUGGCUGGGAUGUUUUCUGUUGCUAUACCAACCUGGUUUCUGCACUAAAAAUAAAGACCUCGGGGUGGGGAAUGUGUGUUGUUUCCUAUAAGCUCAUAUGACUGUUGCAACAUGUUUAUCUAACAUAUUAAUUCUAAUUCUGCCCUAACAAAAGCUCUCUGGAAGCAGAGAGUGGUACUUCAGUUCUCAUUAUU